GACGAACGCUGGCGGCGUGCUUAACACAUGCAAGUCGAACGGAAAGGCCCUGCUUUUGUGGGGUGCUCGAGUGGCGAACGGGUGAGUAACACGUGAGUAACCUGCCCUUGACUUUGGGAUAACUUCAGGAAACUGGGGCUAAUACCGGAUAGGAGCUCCUGCUGCAUGGUGGGGGUUGGAAAGUUUCGGCGGUUGGGGAUGGACUCGCGGCUUAUCAGCUUGUUGGUGGGGUAGUGGCUUACCAAGGCUUUGACGGGUCGCCGGCAUGAGAGGGUGAACGGCCACAAUGGGACUGAGAGACGGCGCAGACGCCUACGGGAGGCAGUAGUGGGGAAUAUUGCACAAUGGGCGGAAGCCUGAUGCAGCAACGUCGCGUGCGGGAUGACGGCCUUCGGGGUGUAAACCGCUUUCGCCUGUGACGAAGCGUGAGUGACGGUAAUGGGUAAAGAAGCACCGGCUAACUACGUG
rnacentral:rRNA from 1 species